rnacentral:rRNA from 1 species
UCCUGAGGUGACGAGCGGCGGACGGGUGAGUAAUGCCUAGGGAUCUGCCCAGUCGAGGGGGAUAACAGUUGGAAACGACUGCUAAUACCGCAUACGCCCUACGGGGGAAAGGAGGGGACCUUCGGGCCUUUCGCGAUUGGAUGAACCUAGGUGGGAUUAGCUAGUUGGUGAGGUAAUGGCUCACCAAGGCGACGAUCCCUAGCUGUUCUGAGAGGAUGAUCAGCCACACUGGGACUGAGACACGGCCCAGACUCCUACGGGAGGCAGCAGUGGGGAAUAUUGCACAAUGGGCGAAAGCCUGAUGCAGCCAUGCCGCGUGUGUGAAGAAGGCCUUCGGGUUGUAAAGCACUUUCAGUAGGGAGGAAAGGGUAUUGCUUAAUACGYAAUAUCUGUGACGUUACCUACAGAAGAAGGACCGGCUAACUCCGUGCCAGCAGCCGCGGUAAUACGGAGGGUCCGAGCGUUAAUCGGAAUUACUGGGCGUAAAGCGUGCGCAGGCGGUUUGUUAAGCCAGAUGUGAAAUCCCCGGGCUCAACCUGGGAAUUGCAUUUGGAACUGGCGAACUAGAGUCUUGUAGAGGGGGGUAGAAUUCCAGGUGUAGCGGUGAAAUGCGUAGAGAUCUGGAGGAAUACCGGUGGCGAAGGCGGCCCCCUGGACAAAGACUGACGCUC